CCUACGGGAGGCAGCAGUGAGGAAUAUUGGUCAAUGGCCGCAGGGCUGAACCAGCCAAGUCGCGUGAGGGAUGACGGUCCUAUGGAUUGUAAACCUCUUUUGUCAGGGAGCAAAGGGCGCCACGUGUGGCGCUUUGCGAGUACCUGAAGAAAAAGCAUCGGCUAACUCCGUGCCAGCAGCCGCGGUAAUACGGAGGAUGCGAGCGUUAUCCGGAUUUAUUGGGUUUAAAGGGGGCGCAGGCGGAAUGUCAAGUCAGCGGUAAAAUUUCGGGGCUCAACCCCGUCGUGCCGUUGAAACUGGCGUUCUUGAGUGAGCGAGAAGUAUGCGGAAUGCGUGGUGUAGCGGUGAAAUGCAUAGAUAUCACGCAGAACUCCGAUUGCGAAGGCAGCAUACCGGCGCUCAACUGACGCUCAUGCACGAAAGCGUGGGUAUCGAACAGGAUUAGAUACCCCAGUAGUC
rnacentral:rRNA from 1 species